rnacentral:rRNA from 1 species
AAUGAACGUUGGCGGCGUGGAUUAGGCAUGCGAGUCGAGCGAGAACCGUAGCAAUACGGGGACAGCGGCGAAAGGGACAGUAACGGGUAGAUUAUCUGCCCUCAGGUUUGGGAUAGCUGCGGGAAACUGCAAGUAAUACCAAAUAAUAUCUCCGGAUCAAAGGUGUGAUUCCGCCUGAGGAUGAGUCUGCCUCCUAUUAGCUAGUUGGUGGGGUAACGGCCUACCAAGGCGUUGAUGGGUAGCGGGUGUGAGAGCACGACCCGCGUCAUUGGGACUGAGACACUGCCCAGACACCUACGGGUGGCUGCAGUCGAGAAUCUUCGGCAAUGGACGCAAGUCUGACCGAGCGACGCCGCGUGUGGGAUGAAGGCCUUCGGGUUGUAAACCACUGUCAGAGGGGAUGAAAUGCAGGUGGGUCCUCCCAUCUGUUUGACAUAGCCUCAGAGGAAGUACGGGCUAAGUUCGUGCCAGCCGCCGCCGUAA